UUUCAGUUCAAUAAUUUUUGAAAAAAAUUUGAAGCCACUAAGUAUAAGGGAAGGAAAUGCAUGUGUCACUUUCUCAGAUGGCCUGAGCCACAGACUAGUGACAUCACAAUGGUCCUUCAGCCUGACUACUACAGAGGCCUCAGAUUUCAGUAGUUUGUCUACCAAAUGCAGUCACAAGUUUGGUGUUCAGGAGUAGGAAGGCAAAAUAAAAUUCCAAGUCUAUUGAAUGUGCCUCCCUUCCAGGCUCCACAGAAAAGGUAGAGACCUGGAAGAGAAGUAUGUUAUUUUUUCUAAAUGGAAACCCCUGAAAAGGAAGACAUGGAAGAAUUACAUCGAAUCUUGCUGUGCCAAGGUCCCAUGGAACUCAAAAGCAGCAAGAAAAAGAAAAAAAGACAUCUAUCUUUGUUUAAUGAUGUUUUGGUUGUGUCUAGUAUCCUGAAUAAAAAAAAGUUUAAGAUAAAAUAUAUCGUCCCACUGCAUUACUUGUUGGUCAUUGAUGAUGUAGACCAAGUCAAGAUAAACCUCCUCUUUUGGCCCAAUGGAAAUUUUGUGGCCACCUUUCGUUCAAAAGAACAAAAAGACCAAUGGGAUUAUUUUCUGAAAAAAUCCAUUAAUGAAGCUAAGAAGGAUACCAAGAAAAAUUUCUCACUGCAGAUAUUCACUGAGGACAUCCCAAGCUGUGACACUCCUUUAUAUGUAACAGCAACAAACAUCGAGACUGUGAAUGAUAUAAUUGAGAAGAAGUUACUACCAAUGAUAAGAAUGCCUAACAGUGAAGAUUACCAACUGUGGUUCUGUCCUGGCCCUGAGGAAACUCCAAGAGCACUCCAAGGCCAUGAGUAUCCACAUGACAUCAUAAUUACCAAUCAUCAAAAUAACUUCAGAAGAACAAACUCAAGAACUUUCACAGCUUUUCCAGCCUUACCUGGGUUGGUUGUGAAAGACUUAAAUUUAGAUUCACAGGGGAAAUUCAUCUUAAAGCCCCGAGACUCAGCUAAGAGCCAGCAACAAAAGGUAAAGGAAAGAUCUUCUAAAAAACAUUGCCCAUUUUUGACAUGCUGUUUACAUAGGGGCUCUGUGCCCCACCAUGACAAAGUGUGCACUGGCCCAUCUCUUUAAUAGAGGAAAACUGGACAAGACUUGACUCCCCAUGUAAAGACAAAAAGUGGUCCACAACAACUAUGGUCAUCCUCUCUAAUAAAAGAGAAAGACCCCAUAACACAGGGUGUUUUCAUGACACCUCUGAAUGGAACAUUAUGGAAAUAAUUGAAAGAACAACUUGAUUCUUGGGAAGAGGUGGAUAUAAGAGGUGGAUAUAAAGAAAGCACUCUGUGCAUGAAGUGGCCUGGAUU